GACAGAGGUGCCGAGCGUUAGGCGGAAUCACUGGGCUUAAAGCGUGUGUAGGCGGGUCGUUUAAGUGCCUUGUGAAAUCCCACAGCUCACCUGUGGAACUGCUUGGCAUACUGGCGAUCUUGAGCCACUUAGGGCAACCGGAACAAAGCGGUGGAGCGGUGAAAUGCGUAGAUAUCGUUUGGAACGCCAAUGGUGAAAACAGGUUGCUGGGAGUGUGCUGACGCUGAGACACGAAAGCCAGGGGAGCAAACGGG
rnacentral:rRNA from 1 species